CAUUCGUACUUACAAGCACAUUAGAGAGUGCAUCCUGAACAACAUCACAAUCAUGGAGGAGACUACCAUACAGUUGCCAGAAGUCAACAAAACAACCCUCACACAGUGCAGGAGGAAUCACGCCCCUCCCAGAGACACCCUCUGUCGUGGCUGGAUGAUGAUGCAGAGAUAAUGGCUGCUUGUAAAUCUGUGGAAGACUCCCUCAUCUCAAAGCAACCAACAAUAGGAGCUGCAGUGACCAGGACGUUGCCAAAGGCUCCUGCUCUACAGCGGCUGAUGGUUCUCCUGCUCCUGCUGAUCCCUCUGCUUCUGCAUCCCCUGCCGGUCCGAUAGCUGCUUCUUCUGGCUCCACUACUCCUCCUGGUCCCUCUGCUGGCUUUUCUGCUGCUGUCCUGGACAAGGUUUUAAGGAACAGGACGGACCUUGCGAUGCCAGUCUCUCGGCCUGCUGCUACUCAGCCACAGCUUCAGCCCCACACACACACACACACACACACACACACACACACACACACACACACACACACACACACACACACACACACACACACACACA